rnacentral:rRNA from 1 species
GACGAACGCUGGCGGCGUGCUUAACACAUGCAAGUCGAACGGAAAGGCCCUGCUUUUGUGGGGUGCUCGAGUGGCGAACGGGUGAGUAACACGUGAGUAACCUGCCCUUGACUUUGGGAUAACUUCAGGAAACUGGGGCUAAUACCGGAUAGGAGCUCCUGCUGCAUGGUGGGGGUUGGAAAGCUCGGGCGGUUGGGGAUGGACUGGCGGCUUAUCAGCUUGUUGGUGGGGUAGUGGCUUACCAAGGCUUUGACGGGUAGCCGGCCUGAGAGGGGGGCCAGCCACAUUGGUACUGAGAUACGGCGCAGACUGCUACGGGAGGCAGCAGUGGAGAAUAUGGCACAAUGGGGGGGAGCCUGAGGCAGCGGCGCCGCGUGCGGAAUGACGGCCAUCGGGUUAUAAACCGCUGUCGCCUGUGACGAAGCGUGAGUGACGGUAAUGAGUAAAGAAGCACCGGCUAACUACGUG